rnacentral:lncRNA from 1 species
AACCAAAUUGACAUAUACCUCUUUUGUAGCCUACCCGUGAGCGUGUGAACCCUCUUGAACACCCUUUGAGCCUUACCUUUCUUUGAAAGAACAUUGAUGAACCCUAGACCUUACUUGAUCCACUACCUAUAAUCCUCUUGAUUUGUGGUUUAGUGAAUAGGCAACUUAGGCCAAAAGCCUAAGUCGAGGGUGUGGUGAAAAACGGAAAA